rnacentral:misc_RNA from 1 species
AAGUCGUAACAAGGUUUCCGUAGGUGAACCUGCGGAAGGAUCAUUAUCGAGUUAGGGUCUUCAUGGCCUGACCUCCAACCCUGUGUUUAUCAUACCACGUUGCUUCGGCGGGUCCGUCUUUCAUCGGACCGCCGGGGGGUCGCGAGACUUCCUGGCCCGCGCCCGCCGAUGGCCCCCCAAUAUAAACUCUGUAUAACCAUGUUUGUCUGAGUUCUUAAAUUAAAUAAAAACAAAACUUUCAACAACGGAUCUCUUGGUUCUG